rnacentral:rRNA from 1 species
AUUGAACGCUGGCGGCAUGCUUUACACAUGCAAGUCGAACGGCAGCGCGGGCUUCGGCCUGGCGGCGAGUGGCGAACGGGUGAGUAAUGCAUCGGAGCGUGCCCAGUAGUGGGGGAUAGCCCGGCGAAAGCCGGAUUAAUACCGCAUACGACCUGAGGGUGAAAGCGGGGGACCGAAAGGCCUCGCGCUAUUGGAGCGGCCGAUGUCGGAUUAGCUAGUUGGUGGGGUAAAGGCUUACCAAGGCGACGAUCCGUAGCUGGUCUGAGAGGACGACCAGCCACACUGGGACUGAGACACGGCCCAGACUCCUACGGGAGGCAGCAGUGGGGAAUUUUGGACAAAGGGGGCAACCCUGAUCCAGCCAUGCCGCGUGCGGGAAGAAGGCCUUCGGGUUGUAAACCGCUUUUGUUCGGGAAGAAAUCCUCUGGGCUAAUACCCCGGGGGGAUGACGGUACCGGAAGAAUAAGCACCGGCUAACUACGUG